rnacentral:rRNA from 1 species
UAGGGAAUCUUCGGCAAUGGGGGGAACCCUGACCGAGCAACGCCGCGUGAGUGAAGAAGGUUUUCGGAUCGUAAAGCUCUGUUGUUAAGGAAGAACGAGUGUGAGAAUGGAAAGUUCAUACUGUGACGGUACUUAACCAGAAAGGGACGGCUAACUACGUGCCAGCAGCCGCGGUAAUACGUAGGUCCCGAGCGUUGUCCGGAUUUAUUGGGCGUAAAGCGAGCGCAGGCGGUUAGAAAAGUCUGAAGUUAAAGGCAGUGGCUCAACCCUUGGAGGCUUUGGAAACUGUGUAACUUGAGUGCAGAAGGGGAGAGUGGAAUUCCAUGUGUAGCGGUGAAAUGCGUAGAUAUAUGGAGGAACACCGGGGGCGAAAGCGGCUCUCUGGUCUGUAACUGACGCUGAGGCUCGAAAGCGUGGGGAGCGAACAGG